AGGGUGUAAACGCUGCAGACUUGGUGUUGGGAACCCUUCGGGGGUGCUCAGUGCCGGAGAGAAGUUGUUAAGUCUGCUACUUGGGGAGUACGUCCGCAAGGAUGAAACUUAAAGGAAUUGGCGGGGGAGGCACCGCAACGGGAGGAGCGUGCGGUUUAAUUGGAUUCAACGCCGAAAAACUCACCAGCAGCGACUGUUACAUGAAAGUCAGGUUGAAGACUCUACUUGAUGAUCUGAGAGGAGGUGCAUGGCGUCAGUGACU
rnacentral:rRNA from 1 species